rnacentral:lncRNA from 1 species
CGCGCGGACCCUUGGGGACCUCGGGGAAGUGUUAGCGGAGCAACGUGUGUUUGCUGGGAUUGGCUGGCGCCUCGGCGUGAGGGGUCCCGAUUGGCCGCCGAGGAUGGACCGAUUCCGCGUGGGUCUGGGCUGGUCCGAGCCUGACUGAGUUCCCCGGGUGUGCGGGUUUGCCUGUGGGCUUGGAUUAGGGCCCGUGUGCCAUGGCCAAGUGAUUGUGAAAGAAAUUCAAAGUAACCGAGGAAGCAUAAAAAAUAAAUUUGCAAGACUCAAAGACACAGAACCCAAACCUCAGAGAUCCAUCUAAACCUUGGAAGCCUGAGGAAAAUGAGUUUGCCAGAGGAGGUGGGGUCUCCAAAGCCUGACUGCUCACCCAAGCAAGAAGCUGGCCAAGGUCGUGCCCUUUAAGAAGCCUGCCUGACCAAUUCAUACAUUCUAAAUGACCUACCCACAGGAAAGUGACUGCUGAACUUGCAAAACAAGACGGCCCUGAAGGGUUCCUGUUUCAUGGAGAAGUCUGCGGGACACACUGUGGCCUAUAGGCUGAAGAUGGAUGCCGAAACAUUACAGAGGAACUUUGGGUGACUAUCCAGGACAUACAAGGAACAGCCAACUGAGAACAGCUGGGAAAGGAGGAGCUAUCAGUGUGAGGAAACAGAGGACUGUUUCAGUCAUGUUAAAAGGAGCAGAAAAAGAAGCACAGAGAAGCUCAGUACUGAAGACCCUCUUAGGAUAAGGCAACUUGGCUUUAAUCGUUCAGAAACUGAACAAGCAGGUGGAGUUGCCACAGGAUUUUGCUUUAGAAAUGGGUUCCCUGUGAUGUGUAGAAUGGAC